UGCUACAGGCCCGGUGCGCGCAAGGGUCGCCGCCCGGUCGGAGGAGAGAUGCGCGCCGCACCUGCCCCCGUUCCCGGGGCCGGGGAAGCCGUUCGAGCAGCGUCGUGUCGCGGUCCGGGACUGUCCUCAGUCCCGGGUCGUCUCGGCGCGGUUCCGAGCGGUCGCUCCCUCGCGAGGUGCCGCGGGUCAGCGGCUGACGCCAGCCACCUUCCCGACCCGUCUUGAAACACGGACCAAGGAGUCUAACAUGUGCGCGAGCCGCGGGGCAGUACGAAACCCGUAAGGCGAAAUGAAGGUGAACGCCGGCGCGGUCCGGCGGAGGUUGGAUCCCGUCCCGUCGGGGCGGGCGCACUACCGGCCGAUCUUCUCCGCCCUGUCGGCGAGGUCGAGCGAGAGCGUGCAAGUCGGGACCCGAAAGAUGGUGAACUAUGCCUGAGGAGGUUGAAGCCAGAGGAAACUCUGGUGGAGGACCGUAGCGAUUCUGACGUGCAAAUCGAUCGUCAAAUUUGGGUAUAGGGGCGAAAGACUAAUCGAACCGUCUAGUAGCUGGUUCCCUUCGAAGUUUCCCUCAGGAUAGCUGGCGCUCUGUCGCAGUUUUAUCUGGUAAAGCGAAUGAUUAGAGGUCUUGGGGGCGAAACGCCCUCAACCUAUUCUCAAACUUUAAAUUGGUAAGAAGCCCGACUCGCUCGUUUGGAGCCGGGCAUGGAAUGCGAGUGCCAAGUGGGCCACUCUUGGUAAGCAG
rnacentral:ncRNA from 1 species